GGAGAGAUACCCAAGUGGUCAUAAGGGGACGCACUCGAAAUGCGUUAGGCGUCGUGAGGCGUGCGUGGGUUCGAAUCCCACUCUCUCCGCCU
rnacentral:tRNA from 2 species